UACGUAGGGUGCAAGCGUUGUCCGGAAUUAUUGGGCGUAAAGAGCUCGUAGGCGGCUUGUCGCGUCGGUUGUGAAAGCUCAGGGCUCAACCCUGAGACGCCAAUCGAUACGGAUCGGCUAGAGGUAGGUAGGGGAAAGUGGAAUUCCUGGUGUAGCGGUGAAAUGCGCAGAUAUCAGGAGGAACACCGGUGGCGAAGGCGGCUUUCUGGGCCUUACCUGACGCUGAGGAGCGAAAGCUGGGGGAGCAAACAGG
rnacentral:rRNA from 1 species